rnacentral:rRNA from 1 species
UACAGAGGUCUCAAGCGUUGUUCGGAUUCAUUGGGCGUAAAGGGUGCGUAGGCGGCGCGGUAAGUCGGGUGUGAAAUCUCGGAGCUUAACUCCGAAACUGCAUUCGAUACUGCCGUGCUUGAGGACUGGAGAGGAGACUGGAAUUUACGGUGUAGCGGUGAAAUGCGUAGAUAUCGUAAGGAAGACCAGUGGCGAAGGCGGGUCUCUGGGCAGUUCCUGACGCUGAGGCACGAAGGCCAGGGGAGCAAACAGG